GGCUUAGAGUUUGAUCAUGGCUCAGGAUGAACGCUGGCGGCGUGCUUAACACAUGCAAGUCGAGCGAAGCACUUACUUUUGAUUUCUUCGGAAUGACGAGGUCUGUGACUUAGCGGCGGACGGGUGAGUAACGCGUGGGCAACCUGCCUCACACAGGGGGAUAACAGUUAGAAAUGACUGCUAAUACCGCAUAAGACCACAGCACCGCAUGGUGCAGGGGUAAAAACUCCGGUGGUGUGAGAUGGGCCCGCGUCUGAUUAGGUAGUUUGUGCGGUAACGGCGCACCAAGCCGACGAUCAGUAGCCGACCUGAGAGGGCGACCGGCCACAUUGGGACUGAGACACGGCCCAAACUCCUACGGGAGGCAGCAGUGGGGAAUAUUGCACAAUGGGGGAAACCCUGAUGCAGCGACGCCGCGUGAAGGAUGAAGUAUUUCGGUAUGUAAACUUCUAUCAGCAGGGAAGAAAAUGACGGUACCUGACUAAGAAGCCCCGGCUAACUACGUGCCAGCAGCCGCGGUAAUACGUAGGGGGCAAGCGUUAUCCGGAUUUACUGGGUGUAAAGGGAGCGUAGACGGCUGUGCAAGUCUGGAGUGAAAACCCGGGGCUCAACCCCGGGAUUGCUUUGGAACUGUGUAGCUGGAGUACCGGAGAGGCAAGUG
rnacentral:rRNA from 1 species